GAUGAAGAACGCAGCGAAAUGCGAUAAGUAAUGCGAAUUGCAGAUUUCAGUGAGUCAUCGAAUCUUUGAACGCACAUUGCGCCCGCCAGUAUUCUGGCGGGCAUGCCUGUUCGAGCGUCAUUUCAACCAUCAAGCCCCCGGGCUUGCGUUGGGGCCCUGCGGCUGCCGCAGGCCCCGAAAAGCAGUGGCGGGCUCGCUGUCACACCGAGUGCAGUAAUCAUUCUUCUCUCCGGGCGUGGCGGCGGGUUCCGGCCGUAAAACCACCAAUCUAUCAAGGUUGACCUCGGAUCAGGUAGGAAUACCCGCUGAACUUAAGCAUAUCAAUAAGCGGAGGA
rnacentral:misc_RNA from 1 species